UAAUUUAUAUGUGGUGAUGAGGAUUGAACCCAGGGCCUCGCACUUGCUAGGCGAGCGCUCUAUCACUGAGCCAUGACCCCAGCCCCUUUUUUUAUAUUUUUAUUUAGAGAGAGAGUCUGGCUAAAUUGUUUAGGCCCUUACUACAUUGCUGAGGCUGGUUUUGAAAGAUCCUCCUGCCUCAGCCCUCCCAGCCACUGGGAUAACAGGGAUGCGCCACCAAACCCAGUUUAAAUAGCUUUCUCUCCUCCUCCAAUACUAGGAUUCUUGGGAUCAGGGGCUUCUGCGUUCUAGGUAAGUGCCCUAACGCUUCUUUCUUCUUUCUUCCCCGCCCCCCCCCAGACAGUAUCUCACUAAGUUACCCAAGCUGGCCUUGAAGUUGCCAUUCUUCUGCCUCAGCCUCCCAAGUAGCUGAGAUUACAGGCACACACUCCCAGGCCCAAUUUAAAUAGCAGUUUUUAAGGUUCAGUGGAUAUUAGUCUGAUUUCAAGUUAAAAUGCACCUACAGGAGCUGGGGUUGUGGCUCAGUGGUACAGCACUUGCCUAGUAUGUGUGAGGCACUGGAUUAGAUUCUCAACACCGCAUAUAAAUAAAUGAAUAAAAUAAAGAUCCAUUGACAACUAAAAAAAUAAGAAUUUUUUUUUUUUUAAUGCACCUACAGGGCUGGGAUUGUGGCUCAGCGGUACAGCGCUCGCCUAGCAUGAGCAGGACCCGGGUUCGAUCCUCAGCACCACAUAAAAAUAAAGGCAUUAUGUUGUGUCCAUCUAGACAUAAAAAAUUAUAUAUAUAUAUAUAUUGCACCUGCAAUUCACAGCCAUCUGACCACACAGUGACUUGAUAGCCUGAACACAACAAUAAAAUAAUCUACUCUUAUCACCACCAUUUGACAAAUAGAGAUUUCAUUUGAGUUAUGCUGUGAAUGAUAGCUGUGCUUCCAAGUUUUCAUAAACAAGGCUCUGUAUGCUGCAGCUGCUGCUAUAGCAUCUUAACAUAUAUUUCCAUUUCACUGUGAUCAAAAUGUUUCCUCUAGGGUUGAAGAUACAGCUCAGUGGUAGAGCUUUUUCCUAGCAUUCAUAAGGCUAUGGGUUCCAUCACCAGCAGUACACACACAAGCUUCCCCCAAAAAUAACCAAAAAUAGAUAAAAUAAUUUGGCUUCCAGACUUUACUUCUACAAAAGGGAUAUAUAGAAUAAAAAUUCUCCACCUUCAUAUAUGUAAGAUGUUCUCUAUUGAGACUUUUACAUCUAGA
rnacentral:lncRNA from 1 species